rfam:Oryza glaberrima chromosome 8 Oglab08_0056_8, whole genome shotgun sequence.
AAAAAGGCAAAUCCUGGGUUUCCAUGUCCAACUUUGACUGUACGUCUUACAUAAAAAAUUUUUAUAAUUCGUAUUUUCACUGUUGUUAGAUGAUAAAACAUGAUUAAAAUUUUAUGCGUGACUUUUCUUUUUAAUUUUUUUCAUAUUUUUUUCAAAUAAGAAGGAUGGUCAAACGUUGGAUACGGAAACUAAGGUUUGCUUUUUUU